rnacentral:rRNA from 1 species
CACGUAGGGUGCGAGCGUUGUCCGGAAUUAUUGGGCGUAAAGAGCUCGUAGGCGGUGUGUCGCGUCGGCCGUGAAAACCUGCAGCUUAACUGUGGGCUUGCGGUCGAUACGGGCAUCACUGGAGUUCGGCAGGGGAGACUGGAAUUCCUGGUGUAGCGGUGAAAUGCGUAGAUAUCGGGAGGAACACCAGAGGCGAAGGCGGCGAUCUGGACAGAUACUGACACUGAACUACGAAAGCGUGGGGAGCAAACAGG